rnacentral:misc_RNA from 1 species
AGAAUUGAAAAGAAAAUUGUUUUAUCCAUUAACCGUUUUAGUGCCAGGGAUUUUUAAAAGAAUCCGUGUCGGAUCGUGCCAUGCGGCGCGAUAGCGCUUCGUUCAUUUAUUUGAGAGAAAUGCCUUUUUUUCGCUUAUGCAGGUGGUUUACGAUUAUUUGAAAAAAAGUAAUUACGAGAGGAAACUCUGAUAUGACUCGCGACGAGCUACAUUCGGAAACGAGCGCGUUGAGAAUUGACGAUCCUGACCAAACAUCGCGACACAGUUCAUUACAGUACGCGAACAGCGCGUUCGCGUUGCCAAUGUAUACGAUCUACGAAAAAAGAUACAGGGGAUGGAAAGUGGAUUUGAGGCUAUUUGAAAAAUGCGCGAUAUUUUCAAGCGAACAUGAAACUCAAUGUUAAAACGUGCAGUAACGCGAAUUGAAGCACAAGGUGAACAUUUCUUUAAUUAUCUAUCACUCGAAAAGUAAAGUUCGUAAGACGUAUAUUCAUUUUUAUGAAUGCUUUUUUACCUAUUUCAGUAUGUAGAUUCAUCCCCGAAAUAGAAAGAUGCAUUUAUAAUUUACCUUGUAUGUAGGGGU